rnacentral:rRNA from 1 species
AUUGAACGCUGGCGGCAUGCUUUAGACAUGCAAGUCGAACGGUAACAGCAGAAGCUUGCUUCUGGCUGACGAGUGGCGGACGGGUGAGUAACGCGUGGGAAUCUGCCUAUUAGUGGGGGACAACUCGGGGAAACUCGGGCUAAUACCGCAUACGCCCUACGGGGGAAAGCGGGGGAUCUUCGGACCUCGCGCUAAUAGAUGAGCCCGCGUCGGAUUAGCUUGUUGGUGAGGUAAUGGCUCACCAAGGCGACGAUCCGUAGCUGGUCUGAGAGGAUGAUCAGCCACACUGGGACUGAGACACGGCCCAGACUCCUACGGGAGGCAGCAGUCGGGAAUAUUGGACAAUGGGCGAAAGCCUGAUCCAGCAAUGCCGCGUGUGUGAAGAAGGCCUGAGGGUUGUAAAGCACUUUCAGUAGGGAAGAUUGGGGUAGAAAUUAAUACUUUCUAUUCUUGACGUUACCUACAGAAGAAGCACCGGCUAAUUCCG